ACACAGGCUGUGCAAUUCAGACCAGGGAAUGUCUCAGUGAGAGUUUUUAUGCAUGUGCUUUUGUAUAUCUGCUUUUCACAGUGGUUGCAACACUUGAGAAAUAAUCUCUAGGACACAAAGUAUGUCUCAGCUUGGUCAGUGAAGAGAAGAAUGGACUAGGACUUUAUUCAACAAAAUAUCUGCUACUCUUCUCAGAGGAAGAUGGGGCAAGACUUGACAGAGUGCUUUCCAAUAUUUCCAGUGAAGAAUUUUUCAUUAGGAGAAAGAAAUUUAAUUAAAAUUACUAAUGGAUUCUGUCUACUUCACAUUUACAACAACUUGACAUCAG